UACGUAGGGCGCAAGCGUUGUCCGGAAUUAUUGGGCGUAGAGAGCUCGUAGGCGGCUUGUCGCGUCGGAUGUGAAAGCCCGGGGCUUAACCCCGGGUCUGCAUUCGAUACGGGCAGGCUGGAGUGUGGUAGGGGAGAUCGGAAUUCCUGGUGUAGCGGUGAAAUGCGCAGAUAUCAGGAGGAACACCGGUGGCGAAGGCGGAUCUCUGGGCCAUUACUGACGCUGAGGAGCGAAAGCGUGGGGAGCGAACAGG
rnacentral:rRNA from 1 species